UGGGGAAUAUUGCGCAAUGGGGGAAACCCUGACGCAGCGACGCCGCGUGCGGGAUGAAGGCCUUCGGGUUGUAAACCGCUUUUGAUUGGGAGCAAGCUUUCGGGUGAGUGUACCUUUCGAAUAAGCGCCGGCUAACUACGUGCCAGCAGCCGCGGUAAUAAGUAGGGCGCAAGCGUUAUCCGGAAUUAUUGGGCGUAAAGAGCUUGUAGGCGGUUCGUCGCGUCUGGUGUGAAAGCCCAUCGCUUAACGGUGGGUUUGCGCCGGGUACGGGCGGGCUAGAGUGCAGUAGGGGAGACUGGAAUUCCCGGUGUAACGGUGGAAUGUGUAGAUAUCGGGAAGAACACCAAUGGCGAAGGCAGGUCUCUGGGCUGUUACUGACGCUGAGAAGCGAAAGCGUGGGGAGCGAACAGG
rnacentral:rRNA from 1 species